UAAGCGGGAGAGAGAUUGAAGACGCUAACCGAAGAGAAAAAAUCGCUAUAUGAGGCCAUGGCAAACGACUUAAAUGAGCGCGGAAAAGGAACAUUACAUAACAAGUUCACUUCAGAUGGCCGCAGCAUCGCCAGUGUCUUACAAGAGGAAGACGAAAGAAUUCAACAGCGCCGACACAUGAUAAACAGUAUUCAUCGAUAUGUUGACGAUAUUGGCAUGGUCGACGAGAUUAAAACGUGGCCAUUCUACAUCUUGUCCUUCAAUAUGCUCUGCGAGGCAAAUAGGAUCUACUACCAGCUACAAAUUGGACUUAAAGACUACUCAAUUGAGCAAGGUU